UCCCCUGGUAGUAUAUCGGUUAGUACACGCGCCUGUCAUCAAUAGAUAUUGAAGGACACACGCCGCGCGAAAGCUGGGUUCGACUCCCAGCCAGGGAG